UACGGGGGGGGCAAGCGUUGUUCGGAAUUACUGGGCGUAAAGGGCUCGUAGGCGGCCAACUAAGUCGGACGUGAAAUCCCCAGGCUCAACCUGGGAACUGCGUCUGAUACUGGGUGGCUUGAAUCCGGGAGAGGGAUGCGGAAUUCCAGGUGUAGCGGUGAAAUGCGUAGAUAUCUGGAGGAACACCGGUGGCGAAGGCGGCAUCCUGGACCGGUAUUGACGCUGAGGAGCGAAAGCCAGGGGAGCAAACGGG
rnacentral:rRNA from 1 species